AGUUUUUUUAUUGCUCCAUCAACCGAUGCAGCAAGGAGGGAGCAGGAUAAUUUUUGGGAAAACAAAAAAACUCUUUGGUUUCUGGUUUCUUCAUCACUAAUAACGCACACAUGGGUGACAGGAAGCAUAAGUCGAUUCCAUUCCAAUAUCAAAGACACAAGCGAUCAACAAUCUUACUUCUUUUUCUUUCUUCUCAAAACUAUGAAGCUUACCAACGAUUUCAGUUCUAACAAAGCUUACCAACGAUUUUAGAAGCCUCAGAUUUGUUACCUGCUUGAAGUUUCAAAAUCAGAAGUAAUCAGUAAAUCGGAGGAACAAUGAUAUGAGUUUUCGUAAAUCAUAACUCAAAAGGAACAAGGAAUUAAGUUUUGAUACCCUCUUGGUGAUUUGAAGUGUGGAAAAUCUAGAACCAAGAAGCCAAUAAUAUAGAAGCCAUUUUCUUUUUUGUGUAUUAUUUUGAUUGAAAUUUUAAUUUUAUGUAUUUGCAAUAGGAAAUUAAAAUUUAUAAUAUUUUUGCUUAAAUC